CUGCAAAGCCAAACUGGAUCUUGGGCAGCACCGGUGGUCGACGACCACCCUGUGCUCGCCGACCUGGAUCUUGGGCACCACCCAGUUCGCCAGCGCCAAGUCUCGCCGCUCUUUGCCAACGUCCACGGGCCUCAUCUCGGCACGGUGCAGCACACGAGGUCACGAGUGCCCCCCAUGGCGCACGCGUCCGGCGAUGCGAGGAGGAGGGAGAGGCCAAAGUCACCGAGGCACGCCCGCAUGUCGGCCUCCACGAAGAUGUUGGACGAGGUGACGUCGAUGUGCACCACGGCGGGCUUCAUGCCAAAGUGGAGGUUCUCAAGCGCCGCCACGAUCUAG
rnacentral:misc_RNA from 1 species